UGCCAGCCGCCGCGGUAAUACGGAGGAUGCAAGCGUUAUCCGGAAUCAUUGGGUUUAAAGGGUCCGUAGGCGGGCAGUUAAGUCAGGGGUGAAAGUUUGCGGCUCAACCGUAAAAUUGCCUCUGAUACUGAUUGUCUUGAAUUAUUAUGAAGUGGUUAGAAUGAGUAGUGUAGCGGUGAAAUGCAUAGAUAUUACUCAGAAUACCGAUUGCGAAGGCAGAUCACUAAUAAUAUAUUGACGCUGAUGGACGAAAGCGUGGGGAGCGAACAGGAUUAGAUA
rnacentral:rRNA from 1 species